UACGUAGGGUGCGAGCGUUAAUCGGAAUUACUGGGCGUAAAGCGUGCGCAGGCGGUUUGUUAAGCCAGAUGUGAAAGCCCCGGGCUCAACCUGGGAACUGCGUUUGGUACUGGCAAGCUAGAGUACGGCAGAGGGGGGUGGAAUUCCUAGUGUAGAGGUGAAAUUCGUAGAUAUUAGGAAGAACACCAGUGGCGAAGGCGGCUCACUGGUCCGGUACUGACGCUGAGGUGCGAAAGCGUGGGGAGCAAACAGG
rnacentral:rRNA from 1 species